rnacentral:rRNA from 1 species
UACGGAGGGUGCGAGCGUUGUCCGGAAUCAUUGGGCGUAAAGGGCGCGUAGGUGGCCCGGUCAGUCUUUGGUGAAAGCGCGGGCUCAACCCUGCGUCGGCCAGGGAUACUGCCGCGGCUCGAGCACUGUAGAGGCAGGCGGAAUUCCGGGUGUAGCGGUGGAAUGCGUAGAGAUCCGGAAGAACACCGGUGGCGAAGGCGGCCUGCUGGGCAGUUAGCUGACACUGAGGCGCGACAGCGUGGGGAGCAACAGG